rnacentral:rRNA from 1 species
UACGUAGGGACCGAGCGUUGUCCGGAAUCAUUGGGCGUAAAGAGCGUGUAGGCGGCUAUUUAAGUCCUGCGUGAAAUCCUGCGGCUCAACCGCAGACGGUCGUGGGAAACUGGAUGGCUAGAGUGCGGGAGAGGAGAGUGGAAUUCCCGGUGUAGCGGUGAAAUGCGCAGAUAUCGGGAAGAACACCCGUGGCGAAGGCGGCUCUCUGGAACGCAACUGACGCUGAGACGCGAAACGUGGGGAGCAAACAGG